ensembl:lncRNA novel transcript
AGGAGUAGCUGUCCGGGUCUCUGGCUAGCUCCUGUCCCAACUUCUUUUUCUUCCCUCGACGGUCGGGAGGGAUCACUGGGUGCUACACCGCUGGGGCGUCCCAGGCAGGAGAGACUUCGCUCUCAGAAGCGCCCCCGUGUCAUCCACAACUCCCACGAAAGGAGCUUCCCAAGAGGAGUUUGUUUUACCCGGAAUGGGCUGCAGGAAUUAAUUGCUUACAGAGAGUAAACUUUUGCCCGUUGUUUUUUUGUUUUUUGUGCUUUUUUUAACCAAAGCUUGCAUUUGUGCUCCGCGUAGUUUCUAUUGCAACAGAGCGCUACUCUGCCUUUUCAACUGUGAGACAGAGGAUUGCUGAGGAUUUCUGCCCUCUGGGGCUUCGCGAAUAUCUAUGGCUUCGGACCUGCUAGCGGAAAACGCAAAGUUGCCCAGCUUGGAGAUGGCACCAGGUUCCUUUGCUCUGGCGCUGGAUGCUCCGCUCCGCCACCCACCGCCGCCGUCUCCAUCGAGAAUCUCCUCAAAAUCAAGGGAGUUCUUGACUGUCCCUCUCCAAAUUGGAAGGCGGUUGACUUUGCCGGGAACCGAGUUCCUGAGCGGCAAACGUGGAGUCGCAGAGCGCAGAAGUGAAGAUUUAAUACAAAAGAUGAAACUUGUAGGAUGACCUCUAGCAGCGCUACUCACAGCUCUGAAAUCGAUCCAGAGCAUUCCACAGUGAGCGUUGCGGCUCCCAGGGGCUCCGGACCGGUAACUUCAGGCGCAAGUCUGAAUUUCAGGGAUGAACCUGCUUUGGAUUCUGUUUGAGCCGACUCAGUGCAGAGGCAGUGACAGGGGCUGUGGGUUUAGGGGUGAUGGAUCCAUGAAGGCUGCCACUUGGAGCGAGCAGACAGUUGGCGAUACCCUCCCACUAACUUGCUCCGCUGCUCCGGGCUGUUCACAGACAGACCCACGCGUAAGGAUUUAGAGUGUGUAUGUCCAACGCCCAGACUUAACUUCUGGUGCAAUUAAGGGAAGAGCUUGAAGCUAACCCGCGCAGCUUGCCUGAAGAAGUGAAUAAUGAAAUCGGUGAUGAGGUGCUAAGGAAUAAAAAGAGGCAUUUUGUUUGCGUGUGUAUUAGUUUGCCAGGAUUGAGUUUUUAGGUUUGAUGUCCUAAAAUGUAUCUUCGACAGUGACUCUUUUGCAGCCUUUCAAGAGGAGGAUGUUCGGCAGUAUUUUGGAACCUGGUAUGAAUCUAUACAUUGUCUGCGUGCCGCAAUAUUUGAUGCCUCUUCGAGUUCUAAUUCUUAUUCCUAAUUAAUAAAUGACUGUUCCUGAUAAUGAAGUGGGAAUAAGAAUUAUAAUAAACUAUUUCCAACAAAAGGCCAUCUUUAACUUAUGAUUUCUGAUUGUAUAAGCCUAUCAAUUACCAAUAAAAUAUUCUGCAGACUAUUAGGCAUGAAUUGCAGAGCUGUAAUGAAGAGACUCACUUGGUUCAAGAAAAUUCAGAAUUUAGAGCGACUCCUCUCCAAAAAGAUUGCAUCAAUGCCGGAGAUCAAAACAUAUGAAGGAUGCAGAUGACACAAAGCUGGGAGACAUUGCCAAUAAAAACAAAAAUAGAAUCCAGAGUGAAAAUGAUUUGGUAAUCUCUUCAUUCCUAUUGAAAUUCAACAGGAAUUUAAAGCCCAGCCAGUAUGCUAAAAACAUCAAAUACAUAGAGAAGAAAUGCCUUUCACUGGAGGGGACAUCUGUGUUUAUACCAAUCGAUGAUGUGAUAAUGUUACAACACAUUUAAUAUAGUCUUAAAUUGUUUCAAAAGAAACACGGAUUCAGGUUUACAUGAAGUAAUAGAUACAGAAAAUAUGCUGCUACUCAGACCAUAUCUGAAUUGUUUUGUUAAAUUAUCUGUUAUAUUUUUGGGUGUAUAGUGUUAAAAUCUGUCUCUGCAGAGGAAGCUAGCCAGCAUUGCAUGAGAAUCUAAAUAUCAUGUCAUAUAUGGAAUGGUUGAAGAGUCUCUUUCACCAUUACAAAUAGCAUGACA